UUUUCUCCACAAAGAGGCCUUGAGAAUGCCACCCAUCGUCUCCAGCGGUGUCUUGUCUGGAGGUGGCCCUGCAGGCUGGGGCUGGCUUCCCUGGGCAAUGGAGAGCGUGCCAGGCCCUCAGGGUCACGUGGGCUCCGUUGCCACCUCAUUGGCAGUCACUGGAAGAGUUUGUGUUGGCUCAGAACCCAGGGCCUGAUUCAAUCCACGAUGCAGGUUGGAGUGCAAUGGCACAAUCACAGCUCACUGCAACCUCUGCCUUCCUGUGCUCAAGUGAUUCUCCCACCUCAGCCUCCCACGUAACUGGGACCACAGGCACGUGCCACCAUGCCCAGCUAGUAUUUGCAUUUUUUGUAGAGACAAGGUCUUGCUAUGUUGCCCAGGCUGGUCUUGAACUCCUGGGCUCAAGCGAUCCGCCUGCCCCAGCCUCCCAAAGUGCUGGGAUUACAGGUGUGAGCCACUGUGCCUGGCCCCAGUGUGGGAAUUUCCUAUGGACACUGCUACAGAUGGAACUGUGACAUCACCAACCCCAUCUUCAAUAUUCCUAUCCCCUGAGUGACUGUAUUGGCGACAAGGCGUUAGAAGACCACAGGGGAGGGCCCUUCCACAGGAAGAGGAACAGAUACCGGAGAGCUCUCUCUUCCCCUCUGCACACACAGAGGAAGGCCAUGUGGGAGGGGGGCCACCUACAAGCCAGGAAGAGAGGCCUCACCAGAAACCAACCGUGAUGGCGCCUUCAUCUUGGACUUCAGCCUCCGGAACCCGGAGAAAAUAAAAGCACAGGCUACCCGAGGCUAGAGAUGAGACAGGAGGAUGGGGCGAGUGGGAGCAGCCUGUGAGAUCCCCUGGAGAGGCCUCAGUGGGGCUGAGAGAGGAGCAGAGCCUCUGUCCCUGAGCCUAGACCCUGAGUCCGGCCCGACGAGGAUCUGGAGAACAUGACAUCACAGCUGAUACAACAGAGUCUCCGAUGACCCCACCCAGGCAGAGACCUCGGAUCUCUGUGGAAGGACGAGCGGCGGUGAACCGGGCAGACACGAGCAGGCACCGUCUGUGUCCACUACACACUCCUGCUGAUGCAGUGUGGUGAAGACAAGUCUGCCCAGACACAAUACCACGAGGCAGGAAGCACAGAGGCAUCAUAAAAUUCUGAACUUGCUAUGUAGAAUAUGAAAUUGCUAAUGGAAGAUUGUUUAUUAAAAAAAGACAAGAAAUUUCUAAAUUUCUGGCACAGUUCAUGGCAGUAGCUGCUCCAGACAGCCUGCCACUGCUGCAGCAGGGAGGUGCCACCAGGGCUACACGCUCCAUGGAGCUGGCAGGAGCCCUGCCCCUUCUGAGUUGCAAGCCUGCAACUUCUGCAGCCACCCAAGUUGUGGCUGCAGAUCUGAGCCUUCCUGUGCUCUUUCGGGGCAAGCAGGUCCAUGAACACCCCAGGCUCAGCCAGAGCAAGGCAGAGGAUGGAGAAACAACUGGAGACUGGAUGACCAGCUGCAGAGAGGAGCUACCUUCUCUGCUGAGAGCUGGGAAGUCAACAGGGACCUGCCUGCAGAGUGGAGCCACCCACUCCAGGGCCUCCUCCCUAUGGAGAGCUGAACGCUGGAGGAGAUGACCUGCUUACAGAGAGGAGCUGACCACUGCGGGUCUCCUCCAAGCUGUCCUAAGAUUCAAUAAAGCUUUUCUUUGUCUUGCUCA